rnacentral:rRNA from 1 species
UGGGGAAUAUUGGACAAUGGGGGCAACCCUGAUCCAGCCAUGCCGCGUGUGUGAAGAAGGCCUUCGGGUUGUAAAGCACUUUAAGCAGGGAGGAAGGCUUCAAGGCUAAUAUCCUUGAGGAUUGACGUUACCUGCAGAAUAAGCACCGGCUAACUCCGUGCCAGCAGCCGCGGUAAUACGGAGGGUGCGAGCGUUAAUCGGAAUUACUGGGCGUAAAGCGCACGUAGGCGGUCAUUUAAGUCGGACGUGAAAUCCCCGGGCUCAACCUGGGAACUGCGUUCGAUACUGGAUGGCUAGAGUGCGGUAGAGGGGGGUGGAAUUCCAGGUGUAGCGGUGAAAUGCGCAGAUAUCAGGAGGAACACCGGUGGCGAAGGCGGCUUGCUGGGCCUGUCCUGACGCUGAGGAGCGAAAGCGUGGGGAGCGGACAGGAUUAGAUACCC